GCGGCGCUGAGGCCGCUGUGGCUCUGCUGGGCCCUGGGCCCGCUGUGGCUCUGCUGGGCCCUGGGCCCCGCCGCCGCCACCAACACCAACAUCAUCCUCCUCCUCAUGGACGACGUGAGUGGGGCACGGCAGGGAGGUGGCGGCGGGUGCGGGGCUGGUGUCGCCCCGGGGGAGUCACCCCGUGGGGAUGGGACAUGGAGGGAAGGGCUGUGAGGGGUCUGGAGCAUCGCCCUGCUGAGGAGGCGCUGCGGGAGCUGGGCAUGGCCCGCUGGAGAAGGGAAUGCUGACAGGGGAUCCCAUCAAUCCGUAUAAAUAUCUCCACGGGCUGGCACAGGACGGUGCCAGGCUGUUCCCAGCGCUGUCCAGGACCAGGAGCGAUGGCCACGAAAUAAACCACGAGGAAUUCCCUCUCGACGUGAGGAGGAAGCUCUGUCCAUGGAGGGUGGCAGAGCCCUGGCACAGCUGCCCAGGGAGGGUCUGGGGUCUCUGGAGCCAUUCCAAGCCCACCUGGACGUGUUCCUGUGCCACCUGCUCCAGGUGUCCCUGCCUUGGGCUGGAUGAUCUCCCUUCCAACACUAAAGAUUGUUGGUCACAAGGAGGGAGUUGGUGGCUCCUGAAAAACUAAGCAAGAAGAGAAGUCUGCUUUCUUAGCUAAUUCUGCUCAUUUACUCGUUUUCUGCUAAUUCUGUUAAUUUUGGUUCUCUGAACUAGGAAGAAAAAAAUGACAGUAAAUUAUUGAAGAGCAGAAAUCAUUUCAGAUUUAUUUCUAUCUGAAAAUCUUUUCAAUUUUACGCCCCUGGCCACAUGGAUAAGGAAUUAUAUUCAUUUCCAACACAUUUGGGUUGCUGCCAUCUAGCUGGUUUGCUUCUCUCCUAAUAAUUUCCUGUCACCUUUCAGAUGGGCUGGGGGGAUUUGGGAGCUUUCGGAGAGCCUUCUAAGGAAACCCCUAACCUAGACCAGAUGGCUGCAGAAGGGAUGCUUUUCCUGGAUUUUUAUACUGCCAACCCCCUCUGCUCUCCCUCAAGGGCAGCACUGCUGACGGGCCGGCUCCCAGUCAGGAAUGGCUUUUACACCACAAAUGGACACUCCAGGAAUGCUUACACACCACAGGAUAUAGUAGGAGGAAUCCAAGAUUCCGAAUUGCUGCUUCCAGAGCUCCUGAAGAAAGCUGGUUACACCAAUAAGAUCAUUGGCAAAUGGCACUUGGGGCACCGGCCCCAGUUCCACCCACUGAGGCACGGCUUUCAUGAGUGGUUUGGGUCCCCAAACUGCCACUUUGGGCCCUACGACAACAGAGAGCGCCCCAACAUCCCCGUGUACAGGGACUGGGAGAUGGUUGGCAGAUACUAUGAAGAUUUCAAAAUUGAUCUGAAGACAGGUGAAGCCAACUUGACUCAGCUCUACCUGCAGGAAGCUCUGGAUUUUAUUAGCAAGCAGCAGGCCAGCCAGCAACCAUUUUUUUUAUACUGGGCAAUUGAUGCUACCCACGCUCCUGUUUAUGCCUCCAAACAGUUCCUGGGCACGAGUCAGAGAGGGCUGUAUGGGGAUGCUGUGAGGGAAAUCGAUGACAGCAUUGGGAAAAUCCUGAAGCACCUCCAGCAGCUGGGGAUCAGUGAGAACACCUUUGUGUUUUUCACCUCUGAUAACGGGGCUGCUCUCAUUUCAGCUCCUGAACAAGGAGGAAGCAAUGGGCCUUUCCUGUGUGGCAAACAAACCACCUUCGAGGGUGGCAUGAGGGAGCCUGCCAUCGCCUGGUGGCCCGGCCACAUCCCUGCAGGAGGGGUCAGCCAUCAGCUGGGCAGUGUGAUGGAUCUGUUCAGCACCAGCCUCUCCCUGGCGAAUCUGCAGCCUCCCAGUGACAGACAGAUUGAUGGCAUCGACCUUUUACCUGCCAUCCUGCAGGGCAAGCUAAUUGACAGGCCCAUUUUCUAUUAUCGUGGCAACGAGCUGAUGGCAGUGAGAGCUGGGCUUUACAAAGCUCACUACUGGACCUGGAGCAACUCCUGGGAGGAGCACAGCAAGGGCAUCGAUUUCUGUCCUGGCCAGAGCGUGGAUGGAGUGACAACACACACACAGGAGGAGCACACUGUCCUGCCCCUGCUCUUCCACCUGGGCAGGGACCCUGGUGAGAAGUACCCAUUAAGUUUUGCCAGUGAGGAAUACCAGCGGGCCAUGGAGCACAUCUCGGGGCUGGUCCAGCAGCACAAGGCUGCCCUGGUGCCAGGCCAGCCCCAGCUGAAUGUGUGUGACCAGGCUGUCAUGCUGAGCCUCUCAAGCCUCCCAGCUCUGCCCCUGAGGCUCUGUUAUCAUCCCACCCUCCGUGCAGAGAAGCUUCCGAAAUGGAUGGAACUAAUAAUCAUGGAAAAACUCUGGCUGCAAAAGUGGAGCCUUGAUUUCAAAUCCUGCAGCGACAAAUGGAUUAUUUCUGUGGCAAAUUGGUCCCUGGGGACCAACAAUUUGGGGAGCUGAAGGCUGGAACUGGGAAGCAGCAGAUCAAUUCCCAACACUUGGAGCCAAGGUUAAUGCCCUGCAAACUGCCUGGAGUGCAGCAGAGAAGGAGAACACGGCUCUGCCUGCCCGAGGGGAGCCUCAGGAAUGUGGUGUCAAAGGGAAAACGGGGAAGUUUGGAGCAAGGGAAGCGAGAGAAUCCCAUGGAUUUGCUGGUAAAACCUGGGGGCUGUGUUGGGGCAGUGACAGUGGGAUUUGACUAAAAGAAGUGGAACUGACAUCUCCAAGAAGGAGGCUGUGGGACUUGGGACAGUAGUGGCAGUUCCCAUAUCUGUCACCUCCAGCCCUUCCCAAACCUCAUGGACAGCAUCCCAAAAUUCCUGCUUUCACAUAAGGGAUCUCCUCAAGGCUGGACACUCUUAUUUUCCCCAGUGACAACAGCUUUGAGGUAACCCCCUGAAGAACUCCAGCAGCUGAAGAAGGACCUGUGGAAGCAGAAGCGAUGGAGACGGACCGAUCCCACAUCCGAGGAGGAGAUCCCUGGCUGUGGGGUGGAGCAGUGGGGGCACUCAGCAGCUCAUCCUGGUGAAGGUUUGCCAGGGCUUGGCUGGGAUGAGGGGCCUGGGAACCUCACUCAGCCUCCAGGAACACGUGGUGGAGUCUCCUGCAGUGAGGGUGGGAUUGUGGGGGGUCACAGACAGGACAGGGGUGACACAGACCCCCCGUUCCAGCCCCUCCAUUAGUGAGAAGCAGAAGCUGAGCUGCUUGGCAGGCUGCAAAGAUCCUUUUUCCCAGGAAAUAAGCUCCUGCUUAUUUAUUUCCACGAGUAGGCAGAUAAAUUCCAUCAGCAAUUCCAUCUGCCAGGAAGAAGAGGAGUUGCUGGAAUAGCUCAUUGUCCAGUGCUGUGCUUGUAAGGUCACAAGAAAAACCCUUCCAGCUCAUCCCAGGGAGCGAGAGUCUGGGUUCCACUGCAAGGCCAGGUCCUUCCUCCGUGUUUGCUUCCCUGGAACAGCUGCCCAAGAAGAUUCUUCUGCUGCCAAAGAGAUAAUCUGAGUUCAGGGAAAAUCUGAGUUUGUGAGGGAAUGGUUGUGAAGGGAGCACGGGCUGUCUCUGGCAGUAGAGGGAAUUAACCUUAGCAGGAGUUGGGAUUGUUCAGCUUGGGGAAGAGGAGGCUCCAGGGGGACCUUAGGGCUCUUUCCAGUGCCUGAAGGGGUUCUGAGAGAGCUGGAGAGGGACUUUAGACAAGGGCCAAGAUAAGGAGGAAUGGCUUCCCCAGAGGGCAGGGUUAGAUGGGAUAUCAGGGAGAAAUUCCUGCCUGUGAGGG